AUUGAACGCUGGCGGCAUGCUUUACACAUGCAAGUCGAACGGCAGCGGGGUAGUGCUUGCACUACUUCCGGCGAGUGGCGAACGGGUGAGUCAUAUAUCGGAACGUACCGAGUAAUGGGGGAUAACCAAUCGAAAGAUUGGCUAAUACCUCAUACGUCCUGAUGCAUAAAGCGGGUGAUCGCAAGACCUCGCGUUAUUCUAGCCGCGGAUAAUUUAUUAGUUAGUUGGUGGGGUAAAGACCUAAAAAGGCGACGAUCAGUAGGGGGUCUGAGAGGACGAUGCGCCACACUGGAACUGAGACACCGCCCAUACUCCUACGGGACGCAGCAGUGUGCAAUUUUAGACAAUAGUGGCAACCAUUAUCCAACCAUCCCACGUGUAUUAAGAAAACCUUCCGUUUGUAAAGUACUUUUUUUAGGUAAAAAAAGGUAAGUCCUAAUACCACUUUUUACUGACGGUAACUAAAAAAUAAGCACCGGCUAACUACGUG
rnacentral:rRNA from 1 species